AGGAAUCUGUGAAUUAUACCAGGACAUUUGCAUUCCCAUGUAAUCUUUUCUGAGAGAUCCUUUAUAUGAAUUUGCUAGAGGCAGUAGGAGCCACAAAGGACCUUUUUCAGAGGCAGAGAUUGCAGAUGACCUCAUGCUAAGGAGACAGGAUGCAAAGCACAAAGCUUCUAAGGUACCCAUGUGGCACCACGUGGAAGCUAGGAAGAUCUGUGAAGUGGGAAGUCAAGCAGGCAGCCCAAAGGCACCACAGCCAGAAGAGAAACAGGAGGAGGAUGUGGAAAUAAUUGGAAAUCCCUGGGUUCCAGAAAGUCAGCAGAGAACAUGCCAGCACCCUUAAGCUAAGGAGGGACCUGGAAGAGGGUGCAGUUUGCAUAUUUGGAAGGAGAGAGGGAAGUGCAUGUUAAUAAGGCAGCGUGAAGGUCUGUGAACUGCAGGAGAGGCAUUCGAGGUGGGAACCGCACCCUGUCUCUAAUUCCCUCAUCUAAUCUGGCUGCAGCAGGAGCCCACACAGAAAAUCUCUUUCAAUCCCCUUACUGUCAUCCGGCUCCACACUGCUUUUGGGCUCUGCAAAUGGCUAAAAUGUGAAGCAUGGGUGG